UAUAAGGAGGUGAACUCUGACUUGCUAGCUUUGGCCUUGUUUUAUCAACUCCAUUAGUGGCAAAGAUUUCCAUUCCUCUCGUUCAGUGCCUGGUUUCGAGUCCUACGUGAGAUUAGCGGCAAUUCUGCCUCCUAAAAUUUUUAUUGGUAGAGGUACCUCACUUUCCAGUAUACAAGAUAGAGCCCUGAACUAAGAGGAGGAAGGGGGACCAAUGAAGAAGGGAAGGCCUAUCCAUAUCAACAGGUAGCUGAGUCAGCUCAGUACAGUAUUCUAUGGAUAAGCAUUUCAACACAAGCAAAUGCAAAUAAUAACUGAAAAAACCACUAACCCUGGAUAAAUUCUCACAGCAUCUCUAUAUAAACAAUCACAUCCCCUGCCCUUUUAUCCAUCCCAGAACUCCUCUAUCCAAUACUUUCAUGCUUGCAACUCCUACCACUUCAUUUCUCCAAAUCACCACCACAAAGACACCUUGCUCAAGCCCUUUUAGUGGCGAGUCCUAUCCACUUAAACCUAGAGCAUCUUUUACUACUGCUUCACCGGCCAAAAAAUCACAAGGGAGCGUUGACUCAAUGGCUACAACCUCCUCAUUCUACGAAGUGCUAGGGCUUCCAAUGAGUGCUAGUGGCCAUGAAAUAAAGGCUGCUUAUAGAAGACUAGCAAGAACUUGCCAUCCUGAUGUUGUGUCCAUGAAUCAGAAAGAAAUGUCAGCCACUGAGUUCAUUAAAAUCCAUGCAGCAUAUUCAACACUAUCAGACCCAGAUAAACGCGCAAGUUAUGAUAGAGAUCUUUUUAGAAACAGUAGGCCUUUCGGGUCUUCUUCUAUGAGGUCGGCAACAAUGGCAGCUGCUUCUGGUUAUACUAGUAGGAACUGGGAGACUGACCAGUGUUGGUAGUUCUUUUUUUUGCCUUUUCAUAUUUCCAUAGCGCAUGUAAUGGAAGUUAUUAAGUUAGCAUGAAAAUGGGUGUUGAACCCUGAAACUCUGCUCGUAUCGUUCUGUAAUCAAUGCUUUUGAUUGAAAACAGAGGAGAUAAAACAGGGGAAAAGACAGAGCUAGUUUGUACGUAGUAGAAAUGGGCACUUUUUUAGUGUAAUUUAAUGUGGAUGUCUGAUUCUUUUGUUA